rnacentral:rRNA from 1 species
UACGGGGGGGGGCAAGCGUUGUUCGGAAUUACUGGGCGUAAAGGGCUCGUAGGUGGCCAACUAAGUCAGACGUGAAAUCCCUCAGCUUAACUGGGGAACUGCGUCUGAUACUGGAUGGCUUGAGUGUGGGAGAGGAAUGCGGAAUUCCAGGUGUAGCGGUGAAAUGCGUAGAUAUCUGGAGGAACACCGGUGGCGAAGGCGGCAUUCUGGACCAUAACUGACACUGAGAGACGAAAGCCAGGGGAGCAAACGGGG